GAGGGCGCUGCUGUCUUCUUUGGAGAUCUAAAGGCCAUCUUUCUGGGGUUUCUGUUUGCAGGGGUUUCUGAAUCCAGAAAGUCUUCUGGCGUUUGAGCAGAAACAAGGGUUGUCUAUGAGCUGGAGGCCCAUCGCUUUCUGGGCAGCGGGAGCAUUGAUAGUGGAGUUUUGCUUUCCAUGGUGUCAGUCACCUGGGAUCCACUGGGGUCUGGAAGCUGAUAAUGCUCCUUCUGAUGCAUCACGGGGUCAGUAGCAGCCUAACAUGAUGUCACACGCCUACGUCGUUCACCUCACAUCUCAUCACAUGGGCAUCUCAUCAUCCACACCGUCGUUACAAGAGGAAGGAGAGAAUGAAUCCAGCGGGGAGGCGCUUUCUUGCCCCACAUACAUAACGUUGCAUGGCUGGCGACCUCCUGCAUGGCGGGGCCAUGUGAAAUCUUUCUGGUUGUUUCCCUACUUGGAGGUGAAGCUGAGUGGCACCACAGCAUCUACAAGUGACAAUUAAGUUCUCUGUCAGCCUCCUCCCCCUCCCCCCUGUCUCCCGGAGUCUUCUGAAUUUGGAGAACUUUCUGAGAUGCAAUGUCUCUGGGAGGCCGCUGUCGUCUGCCCAUCCUGAGAGUCAGCCUGGCUGCUGCAGCCCCAGGACAUGAACCGGGAUGGAGUUUGUUCUACGGAGAAUCGAAUGUGACUGUCCGAGGCUGAUUUGGGCCUUUCCUGUCUGUAGUUUCGAGAGCUGUCAUGAACUCUUUGGCUGAACCAAAAGAUACCUUCCAGUUAACCAAUUCAGAGGCAAGAGCUUAGACCCACCUACGUCAUUUCAGCAGUAAGUGUUCAGACACCUUUUCUUUCCCAGAAGGCUUGAAGAGGAUUUUAGAGUUAUAAUUGCCUCUGCCUUUUCUGCUUCACAGCAUAAUCAUAAUUCCGAUUUUCUAUUCCGUGCACUCUGGGGCGGGGUGCGUUCUGCAGACAGAAGUCAUCAAAUGAGCGAUACCCCUUAUGUCACAUUUGGGGAAGGUACCUGAGUGGGCCUGAAUUAUUAAACUCUUCCCUCAAGCUAGAGUAUAACAACAUAUGCCUUGUGCCUCACUUCGGGUGGAAAUCAUCUGGACUCCUCCUGCUGGGAAUGCACCACGGGGCUGGUUACCCGUUAGAUGCCAUCUGGCUUGGCCGAACGAUCCCAUGGCCCAUCUUGUGACUGUAUGUGCAGCUGGUCACAUAUGUUGAAAUAUGUGCCCAUGGGGGAAAAUGCUACCCUGUGGAAUUUCUAGACCAUGUGCUCUCUGGUCUGCAUUUUGCUCACGUGCAUGAUCCCAUUUAAGCCUCACAAACUCCUGAGGUUGGCAAUACUCUUACUUCCAGUUUCCAGAUGUGGUCACUUUUCCAAGGCCACACAGGGACUGGGUGAUGGAGGCAGGAUUCAAACCCGAGUCUUACUCCAAAGUUCAUGCUUUUUAGCACACCUACAGGCUUCCUCCAAGGAGGAGAGACUCUCCAGAGCAGGGAAUAUAUAGUUAUAGGAAGUAUUUAUAUGUAUAUAAAACGGUCCAGCCUACCCUCCUUCUUCAAACAAUGAGAGGCAUCAACAGCAUGGGGUAUGUGGGUAUUAGGAAAUGUAAAUUAAAACCGGAGCAAGAACCACUGCAUGCAUACUACAGACUGGCUGGACCAAGUGCUGGCAGGUGCAUGGAGGUGCUAGAAUUCUCCUUCAUACACUGCUGGUGGGAGUGUAAGAUGGUCUGGUGUUUUCCUAAAAUGUUAAACCUAAUGGAAUCCCAUAACAUUAAGGACAUUAUUCUACGUCACAAAGGAUCUAUUUUUAAAAGUUUUUAAAAAUUAAUUCUCUUAGGGGCACCUGG